GCAUUAAUGGGGUAGUGGUAACCUGGGUCGUUGCCAAACGAAGAACAGUUCUUUCUUCGACCCGCCGGGGGUUCGAUUCCCCCUUAAUGCA